UACUUCCGCCCUCCGCGCAGUGGAUAGC
rnacentral:sRNA from 1 species